rnacentral:sRNA from 1 species
UUGAGUUUCUGAAGUUUAAUCAAAUCUGAGUAGAGAAUCUGUUUCUGUAAUAUUUUCAAUAUGUUUAUGCAUAUACGCCUACAAAGUUUUAAAAGUACAUUUUGUGUGUGUGUGUGUGUGUGUGUGUGCGUGCGUGCUGGGGAUUGAACCCACACUACAUAUGCAUUCCAA